rnacentral:SRP_RNA from 1 species
GCCGGGCGCGGUGGCGCGUGCCUGUAGUCCCAGCUACUAGGGAGGCUGAGGCUGGAGGAUCGCUUGAGCCCAGGAGUUCUGGGCUGUAGUGCGCUAUGCCGAUCGGGUGUCCGCACUAAGUUCGGCAUCAAUAUGGUGACCUCCCGGGAGCGGGGGACCACCAGGUUGCCUAAGGAGGGGUGAACCGGCCCAGGUCGGAAACGGAGCAGGUCAAAACUCCCGUGCUGAUCAGUAGUGGGAUCGCGCCUGUGAAUAGCCACUGCACUCCAGCCUGGGCAACAUAGCGAGACCCUGUCUCU